UACAAGGGGGGCAAGCGUUGUUCGGAAUUAUUGGGCGUAAAGGGCGCGUAGGCGGUGCGGUAAGUCUGAUGUGAAAUCUCCGGGCUCAACUCGGAGUCUGCAUCAGAAACUGCCGUGCUCGAGUGUGGGAGAGGUGAGUGGAAUUCCCGGUGUAGCGGUGAAAUGCGUAGAUAUCAGGAGGAACACCUGUGGCGAAAGCGGCUCACUGGACCAUAACUGACGCUGAUGCACGAAAGCUAGGGGAGCAAACAGG
rnacentral:rRNA from 1 species